CAAAAAAUAGUUUAAUAUGUUAAAAUAUAAAUUUUGGAGAUUUAAGAUAGCUUUAGUUUUUUUUGA
rnacentral:tRNA from 1 species